rnacentral:misc_RNA from 1 species
UGCCUCCUAAUUCUAAUGUAUGUAGGCUGGAUACCAGAAUGAUCUCCACAAGGUGAAUCAUGAUAGACAGUUGACAAUUUGUGCCUCAAAUCAGUAGCAGGUCCCACAUAAAUUCUGCCUUUGUAAUACAAAACCCCAUGCUUGAAUUCAUACCCUUGAUGAGCCUUAGCAUCAAUAGCUAACUGAGCAAUUAUGUCCUGCAAUUGAGAAUCAGCUACAUAACUAUCAAUCAACUUAGUCAUCCAAG